UACGUAGGGGGCAAGCGUUGUCCGGAUUCAUUGGGCGUAAAGAGCGUGUAGGCGGCCAGGUAGGUCGGUUGUGAAAACUGGAGGCUCAACCUUCAGAGGUCGACCGAAACCAUCUGGCUAGAGUCCGGGAGAGGAGAGUGGAAUUCCUGGUGUAGCGGUGAAAUGCGCAGAUAUCAGGAAGAACACCCGUGGCGAAAGCGGCUCUCUGGAACGGUACUGACGCUGAGACCGCGAAAGCGUGGGGAGCGAACAGG
rnacentral:rRNA from 1 species